CGCUGGCGGCAGGUUUAACACAUGCAAGUCGAGCGCCCGCAAGGGGAGCGGCAGACGGGUGAGUAACGCGUGGGAAUCUACCCAUCUCUACGGAACAACUCCGGGAAACUGGAGCUAAUACCGUAUACGUCCUAAGGGAGAAAGAUUUAUCGGAGAUGGAUGAGCCCGCGUUGGAUUAGCUAGUUGGUGGGGUAAUGGCCUACCAAGGCGACGAUCCAUAGCUGGUCUGAGAGGAUGAUCAGCCACACUGGGACUGAGACACGGCCCAGACUCCUACGGGAGGCAGCAGUGGGGAAUAUUGGACAAUGGGCGCAAGCCUGAUCCAGCCAUGCCGCGUGAGUGAUGAAGGCCCUAGGGUUGUAAAGCUCUUUCAACGGUGAAGAUAAUGACGGUAACCGUAGAAGAAGCCCCGGCUAACUUCGUG
rnacentral:rRNA from 1 species